CCUGUUCCCCAUCCCGGCGUCUAAGAGAGGAAGGGGCCCGGGCGUUUAAGCCGUCUUGCUCACCACUCCCUCUGCUGGGCGGUUGGCUCCAUAGCAUCGGCCAGGCAUCUUCUGGGCUCUGGACCUCCCGAACCAGGGAGGCUGGGCUAGACGACCUCUAAGAGCCUUUCUAUGAUCCUGUGAUUCUCCCCACACCCAAUUUACACAUGAAGAAAUUGUAGAAGAAAUUGGAGGCGCAGAAUGGCGGUGACUUGCUGGAAGAAGCCACAGAGACAGUUCAGCAGAUUUGGGACCCUGAUUGAAAAUCUUGGAUUCUUUAUUCCAUAACAUGCUGCCUACCCUUUGGGGGGCGGGGCAAGGGGAGGGACCCUCUUAGUCACUACCUCUGUCUCUCCCAGCCUCCCUCCCCUAUCUCAAGCCACUCAAUAAAUGUUUGCUACUUGAA